rnacentral:lncRNA from 1 species
UUGAAGUGACUAGCUUGGUGGAAAGUUUGUCUGUGAUAGGGAAGAAAAUUAAAAAUGAGGAUCUAAUACUACUAGUGGUGGCAAGGUUGAAAGAUGAAUAUGAAUCUCUGAUUUAAAACAUCACACUAUGGAGAAAUUUAAUCAUAUACAAGUGAAGGUUAUAUUCAUAGAUAUUGAGGUAAGGAAAUCUAAAUCUAGUAUUAUCAAUUCUUUAAGUGCUAAUGUGAUUGAGAUAGAGAAAAAUAAUUCCAAAUAAGGAAAAAUUAAUCUUAAAAGUAUCCCAUGUCAAAUAUGCACUGUCAAGGAAAAUGGAGUUAUGGAUUGCUACAAUUGUCUUAACAUCACCAAAUAUCAUCCAAUGGCAUCACAGGCAAAAUGACUGCAAAUAUGUUUCAUACCCUGAAACACUAUGGAUGAGCUUUCGAUCAAUAUAAUUGCAAUUGAAGAUGGAAAGAUAGUCUAUAAAUUGGAUAAAUACAAAUACAUUGAAUGAAAAAGAUUUAUGGUAUGCACACUUAGGGCCACAAACCAUGUUACAAAAGCUUAGAGCAAUGUGCAACAGAGUUUGAAGUAUGAUAGGUCUAUCAACACUGCAAAUAGUAGACCUAUGAAAAUCACACAAUGUGAUAAUUUUAUUUUUAUAGUUAAUAAUAGAAUUUUUAAUUUAAAUUAACUACUUUAUGUUUUUUAUCAUCCAAGAAUCUAAAUUCUAUUAAAAUUUUUUGUGUAGAUAACAAAGUCUCAAUGCAAUUUGAUUCACAGAGAAUGAUUGUCAAAGACUUGACCUCUAAAGAAGUGUUGAUCUAUGCAAUAAGCAGUGAUGGAUAGGGUGUCAACUAAAACUCAACAAACCGAAGUUAAACUUAUACUUUUCAAAUUCGAUUUGAUAAGCUCGUUAAAAGCUUCUUAAUAAUAAAAUAAAAUAUAGAUAUAAAAAGUUAUAAAUAUUAAUUGAUGUGAUAUCCUGCAAAUUGUAAAGACUAUAUAUGCGUGAACAUGGAAAAUGAAAGGACAAUGUUAUCUAAAGAUGUGGUGUUUUAUGAAAAAUAACUUUUUGCCAAGAAUAUUCUUAGAAUAGAUGGUGUAAUAUCUGAACACAAUUCAGAAGAAGAAUCUGAUCAAAGAGCAAUUGAAGUUCAAAAAGCAAGACAUUCCAUCUUUUAUAACAUCAGAAAAUGUUACAAGUCGACCUAUACUAUGUGAUCAUGUGAUUCAAACAUGCUAAAAGAAAGAAAGUCUCUGAUGCAAUGGUUUUUAAUAAUGAAAUUUCUGAAGUCACAUCAGAUAUCGUAGAUGAACAACAAGCAAUUAAAGAUCAAUAAUUAAUGAUGAUGAUUGUUUAAAUUCAAAAACUUCAUUAGAUAAGGAAUAUCAUCCUAAUGAAUCUGAUGAAAAAAGAGAUAAUGAUCAUGUUUCAAUCACAAGGAAAACAGUAAGGAGGAAAGAUCAGGUUUAAUACUAUCUAUCACUCCAACUUUAAAAAAUGCACCAAAAUCAGUAAAAUUUGCUAACUGAGAAACAUUAUAAUCACUAAAUUGGUAUAUCAACCCCUACAUAUAUCAAUCCAUACUCCAUCCUUCUGCAAAACUAAAAACUAUGCAACACUACUUUAAAACGACAAACCUAUGUUUUUCUUUAAAGAGGAUUAGUUUAUUAAAUGAUGUUAAUAUAAAAGAAAAUCCUGAACAUAAUAUAUAAAAACCAGAAAAUUAUUAAAAACCAGAAGAAAAUAACAACGAAAAGAACUAUCCAACUACUCUUGCGUAUUGAUUACAUAAUAGCUUCAAGCUUUUUGACGCGACCAGGCGAUGUCUGGGACCGCAUACCGCAUAUGCGACCGCCUGAACGCAUAUGCGGUCAAAUAUGCAACAUGGGACCGCCUAAUCGCAAAGUAGAAACGCGAUUUCUACCUAGGGCGAUUUCGAUUUCUACCUAGCACGAUUCCAAUUCCGAUUCAGUAGCAGGCCAGGCGACCAGCGGUUCAGACUUCAGGUUUCCGAUUUCCGUUCAGACUUCAAGGUUUUCGAUUUCCGUUUUCACGAUUUACUGAUUUAGGGUUUUUAGUGUUUUUUAUUUAAAUGGGUUUUUAGUGUUUUUUAUUUAAAUGGGUUUUUUAAUAAGGUCCUUAAGUUUUAAUAAAAUAAUACAAUUCAUUUAAAGUUUUUAAAUUUCAAUAGGGUUAAUGGAUCAGGUUUAUCUGAAUCCGACCCGGAUCCGGCUAAACCCAAUAAUAUGCGACCCCCCAAAUAUGCGAUGGGGGGUUACCGCCUGGUCGCAUAUGCGACAAAUCAAAGGCUUGAAUAGCUUUAUGUAAAAUUAUUAAUUUUAUGACAAUAAAUAUAUUUAUUAAGAAAAAUAAAUUACUUGAGACUUCAUACAAAAAAAAUUCUGUUAUAAGCAUUCAAAAAAAAUACAAACAAAAAUUCUGAUAAUGUAAAAUAAUCAGAUAAAAACAGAUAACUUUUAAUAACUAUUAACUGCUACAUUGAAUUACAUAUUAAUAAAUACAAAAAAAAUUAUAAAACACUUACUGUAUGCAUUUCGUCCGCAAUAUUUAACAGAUUCUGGAAAAUUCUGAAUCCGAAAUCGAAUCGAUUAUAGACGUCAAAGAUAGCUAGAACUUUCUAGAAACAUGAAGAAAACUAAAGAACACUAGAGUGAUGAAUGAAAGAAGAGAGCAAAACCUAAUACAGAUGUAUCCGUAAGUAAAUCAGAAACGACAAAAAGACCGCUAGAAAAAACCAAAGAAGAGGGAUUCAGGGUUUCUAACAAUCUCCUCCCCUUAACGGUGCCGUUUCAAGGAGUCGAGAGUGGAGAAGUAAGCGAGGGUGACGACGAGAACGAAGAAGAUGCAACAGAUAAAAGAGAGAUAAAAAAUGACCGAAGAUUCAGACUGAAAAAGAAGAAGAAAAACCUAAAAUCUGGGGAGAGUAAACGCAACUCUGCGAGUGAUGAAAAAUACAGACAGAGGAUGACGGUUUUAUAGAUCGUCAUGAUUCAU